GGGAAACUCCGCUUUACCUGGCUGCUGAUAAUGGAUGUGAAGAGAUAGUCCUUGAACUACUAAGAAAUCCCAAUUCAAAAUCACUGACUUAUAUCGGCCCCAGUGGUAAAACGGCAUUACAUGCGGUGGCAAUGAACUGGGACAUUUAUCAGAAAAGUGAAGGUAGAUCAGUAAAUAUAUCAGAAACUUCCUUUAUGCAUGUAUUGAUUAUAAAUUAAUUAAUUUUAUUUUAUUUCAGUUUCAAAAUGAUUUUUUGAAACUCAAGAAUUAAUAUACAAUAUAAGAAGGUGCGUUGAGGUGCUGAAGGUUUUGUUGGGGCUUUUGGUGGAUCUAUUUUUGCUGUGUUCUAGUGUGCUACUUUGGCUUUCCUGCUCCAGUCCUAUUGUGUUAGCCUUUGGUUCUUUUCGAAUUCUUGUUCCUUUGCUGGAGGUUUUGGGUCAUUGUUGCAGCCUCUUGCUUUUGGUUCUUCUUCGGAAUUUUCAGCUUUUCAUUGGGUUCCAGUUUCGAGUUUUUUCUUUCCUUCUCUUGCUGCUUGCUUGCUUCGCUAAGGGGCUUCUCUAGUUGCAGUAGCCUUUUGGAUUGUUUAGCAAGGCUCUCAGGGAGUGUAGUUGUUUGGGUUCUCUGGAGCUUGUGGCUCGGCUUUAGAGUCUCUACCUGGGCCGCUUAGCUGUCUUCUGGUCUUGGUCUAUUGCAUGCUGGUGGUCAGCUUUGUUUUUGUUGUUCUUUAUUUCUAAGUUUGGUGGUGGUUUCAAGCCAUUCUGUUAUUACUUCUUAUGCAGGUCUCUUUUUUGUGUAGUUUAGCUUAUUGCUAAGUUUGGUUUGUGGUUUUGAUCUUGUUUUUCUUUCAGUUUCCUAUAGCUGGUCUCGCUGUAGUUCUAUUUUAAUAAAAAUUUUCAGCUUA
rnacentral:misc_RNA from 1 species